GACGAACGCUGGCGGCGUGCCUAAUACAUGCAAGUCGAGCGAAGUUUUUCUGGUGCUUGCCCUAGAAAAACUUAGCGGCGCACGGGUGAGUCACACGUAAAGAACCUGCCUCAUAGACUGGGACAACUAUUGGAAACGAUAGCUAAUACCGGAUAACAGUAUUUCUCGCAUGAGAGAUAUUUAAAAGUUGGUUAUGCUAACACUAUGAGAUGGCUUUGCGGUGCAUUAGCUAGUUGGUGGGGUAAAGGCCCACCAAGGCGACGAUGCAUAGCCGACCUGAGAGGGUGAUCGGCCACACUGGGACUGAGACACGGCCCAGACUCCUACGGGAGGCAGCAGUAGGGAAUCUUCCGCAAUGGGCGAAAGCCUGACGGAGCAACGCCGCGUGAGUGAAGAAGGAUUUCGGUUCGUAAAGCUCUGUUGUUAGGGAAGAAUGGAUAUGUAGUAACUAUACAUGUAAGAGACGGUACCUAACCAGAAAGCCACGGCUAACUACGUG
rnacentral:rRNA from 1 species